rnacentral:rRNA from 1 species
UUGGAGGGCAAGUCUGGUGCCAGCAGCCGCGGUAAUUCCAGCUCCAAUAGCGUAUAUUAAAGUUGUUGCAGUUGAAAAGCUCGUAGUUGAAUUUCGGGAUCAAUGUUUCGGUCAUGCCGUUGGUAUGUACUGAUAUUAUUGAUUUCUCACCUUCUAAAGAACCGUAAUGCCAUUAAUUUGGUGUCACGGGGAAUUAGGACUGUUACCUUGAAAAAAUUAGAGUGUUUAAAGCAGGCUCACGCUUGAAUACAUUAGCAUGGAAUAA